rnacentral:rRNA from 1 species
UACAGAGGGUGCGAGCGUUAAUCGGAAUUACUGGGCGUAAAGCGCACGUAGGUGGCGACGUAAGUCGGGUGUGAAAGCCCCGGGCUCAACCUGGGAAUUGCAUUCGAGACUGCAUUGCUGGAGUACGGAAGAGGAGGGCGGAAUUCCCGGUGUAGCGGUGAAAUGCGUAGAUAUCGGGAGGAACAUCAGUGGCGAAGGCGACUUACUGGACUGAAACUGACGCUGAGGCACGAAAGCGUGGGGAGCAAACAGG